rnacentral:rRNA from 1 species
GAAGUGUAAGUAGCUGCCGAUGUGAUCUCAGAUUGAACGCUGGCGACGUGCUUUACACAUGCAAAGUCUCGAACGGCAGCAAGUUUACUUUCGGGUAGAUGUUGGCGAGUGGCGGACGGGUGAGUAAUGCAUCGGGACAUGUCUUGUUGAGGGGGAUAACUCAUCGAAAGAUGAGCUAAUACCGCAUACUGUCUGAGGACGAAAGCUGGGGACUCGAGAGGGCCUGGCGCAAUAAGGUUGCCCGAUGUUCGAUUAGCUAGUUGGUGAAGUAAAGGUUUACCAAGGCGAUGAUCGAUAGCUGUUCUGAGAGGAAGAUCAGCCACACUGGGACUGAGACACGGCCCAGACUCCUACGGGAGGCAGCAGUGGGGAAUAUUGGACAAUGGGGGCAACCCUGAUCCAGCAACGCCGCGUGAAUGAAGAAGGCCUUAGGGUUGUAAAGUUCUUUUGUCUGGGAGCAAAGUUAUGCUGUGAAUAGCGGCAUGAUCUGAGAGUACCAGAAGAAUAAGCACCGGCUAACUACGUGCCAGCAGCCGCGGUAAUACGUAGGGUGCGAGCGUUAAUCGGAAUUACUGGGCGUAAAGAGUGCGUAGGCGGAUAUAUAAGUUAGAUGUGAAAUACCCGAGCUUAACUUGGGAAUUGCAUUUAAUACUGUG